AUGCCCUCUUUCCAUCCUGUCUUCCUCCCAGACAGCAUUCCUUGUUGGAAUUAGUCCUUCACAUUCUAAAUACUCAGUAUAUGCUCAUUCGCAUAUAGUAGGCAUAGAGACUAUGCAUCUGCCUCCUGCCUACUCCAGGCUCUUCCCUCCAACAGUUGUGAGUGUAGGUCCCAUCCUGGAGUUUGCUGGCGUGGCGGCAGGGGGAGGUUGCUGUGGUGAUGGUGGGAGGUAUGUCUUUGGGUGUUGUGUGCACGGCCCUGAAGCUGAUCUCCACCCUUCCUCUCCCCUGCUCACCCCAGCCUGGCAGUCUCUGUGAAGAUGAAUGUGCUGCUCUUCGCCCCUGGGUUACUGUUUCUUCUCCUCACACAGUUUGGCUUCCGUGGGGCCCUCCCCAAGCUGGGCAUCUGUGCUGGCCUUCAGGUGGUGCUGGGGCUGCCCUUCCUGCUGGAGAACCCCAUCGGCUACCUGUCCCGCUCCUUUGACCUUGGCCGCCAGUUUCUGUUCCGCUGGACAGUGAACUGGCGCUUCCUCCCAGAGGCUCUCUUCCUGCAUCGAGCCUUCCACCUGGCCCUGUUGACUGCCCACCUCACCCUGCUCCUGCUGUUUGCCCUCUGCAGGUGGCACAGGACAGGGGAAAGUAUCUUGUCGCUGCUGAGGGAUCCCUCCAAAAGGAAGGUUCCACCCCAGCCCCUUACACCCAACC
rnacentral:sRNA from 1 species